rnacentral:rRNA from 1 species
CUGCUAUUGGAGUUCGAUUAAGCCAUGCGAGUCUAAGGGGUACUUGUACCCCUGGCAUAAUGCUCAGUAACACGUGGAUAAUCUACCCUUAGGUGGGGCAUAAACCCGGGAAACUGGGGCUAAUUCCCCAUAGAUACAGAACGCUGGAAUGCCUCUGUAUUCAAAGCUCCGGCGCCUAAGGAUGAGUCUGCGACCUAUCAGGUAGUAGUCAGGGUCACGACCUGACUAGCCAACGACGGGUACGGGGUGUGAGAGCACUUGCCCGGAGAUGGUUUCUGAGACACGAAACCAGGCCCUACGGGGCGCAGCAGGCGCGAAAACUUCGCAAUGCGGGAAACCGUGACGAGGGAACUCCAAGUGUCUAUGCAAUGCAUAGACUGUUUUUCAGCCUAAAUAGCUGUUAGAGUAAGGGGUGGGUAAGACCGGUGCCAGCCGCCGCGGUAACACCGGCACCCCGAGUGGUAGCCACUAUUAUUGGGCCUAAAGCGUUCGUAGCCGGUUUAGUAAAUUCUUGGGUAAAUCGUACAGCUUAACUGUGCGGAUUCCGGGGACACUACUAGACUUGAGACCGGGAGAGAUUAGAGGUACUUGCAGGGGAGCGGUGAAAUGUUGUAAUCCUGCAGGGACCACCAGUGGCGAAGGCGUCUAAUCAUAACGGCUCUGACGGUGAGGAACGAAACCCUGGGGCGCAAACGGGAUUAGAUACCCCGGUAGUCCAGGGCGUAAACGCUGCUGACUUGGUGUUGGAGAUCCUACGAGGGUGUCCAGUGCUGGCGCGAAGGUAUUAAGUCAGCCGCCUGGGGAGUACGGUCGCAAGACUGAAACUUAAAGGAAUUGGCGGGGGAGCACUGCAACGUGUGGAGCGUGCGG